GGCGUCCUACGGGGGGCAGCAGUGGGGGAUAUUGCACAAUGGGGGGAACCCUGAUGCAGCGACGCCGCGUGGGUGAAGGAGCGUUUCGGCGCGUAAAGCCCUAUCGGCAGGGAGGAAGGAGGACGGUACCUGACUAAGAAGCCCCGGCUAACUACGUGCCAGCAGCCGCGGUAAUACGUAGGGGGCAAGCGUUAUCCGGAUUUACUGGGUGUAAAGGGGGCGCAGACGGCAGCGCAGGCCAGGAGUGAAAGCCCGGGGCCCAACCCCGGGGC
rnacentral:rRNA from 1 species